rnacentral:rRNA from 1 species
GAUGAACGCUAGCGGCAGGCUUAACACAUGCAAGUCGAGGGGUAUAGUUCUUCGGAGCUAGGGACCGGCGCACGGGUGCGUAACGCGUAUGCAAUCUCCCUUUUGCAGAGGGAUAGCCCAGAGAAAUUUGGAUUAAUACCCCAUGGUAUGUGAGAAUGGCAUCAUUUUCACAUUAAAGUCACAACGGCAAAAGAUGAGCAUGCGGCCCAUACGCUAGUUGGUAAGGUAACGGCUUACCAAGGCAACGAUGGGUAGGGGUCCUGAGAGGGAGUACCCCCACACUGGUACUGAGACACGGACCAGACUCCUACGGGAGGCAGGAGUGAGGAAUAUUGGACAAUGGGCGCAAGCCUGAUCCAGCCAUGCCGCGUGCAGGAUGACGGUCCUAUGGAUUGUAAACUGCUCUUGUACAGGAAGAAACACUGGUUCGUGAACCAGCUUGACGGUACUGUAAGAAUAAGGAUCGGCUAACUCCGUGCCAGUCGCCGCCGUAACAC